rnacentral:lncRNA from 11 species
AUGAUUGUUUGGAAGGACAGUGCACAGGUUUCCACUUCUUCAGUUCAAGGCUACUGUACCCAGUUCUUUGCGGUGUUUCUAGCUUUUCUCUUUAAAAGGGCUGCCCAGUGGCAUCAUGCCGCUGGUAAACCAAUGAGAAGCCUUCACCUGCCAAAACCUCUCAGCAGGCAUCCCAGAGCACAAAAGGGCCACCUGGUGGUAAGAGCUCAGAACUGGUUUUCAAAAAGCUCAAUUCCUCUUUCAAGGCUUCUCUUACAGAGAACACAGAAAAAGCAGAACAGAAGGGACAAAAUGUCUUAUAAGGAGAAGUAAGUCAUUUAGCUGAGAAGGCAAUUUGGAGCUUCAGCAUUGUUGACAUAAUUGGACAUGGCCAUAUUGACUUGGGUCAAAACAGAAAUGAUUGAACAGCUAGAGAGGUGAGUU